AUUGGAAGCUUCAGCAGGUGCCAACUAAAAUGGAGUAAUUGUUGCAGUCACUAAAUGAUCAUAGCUAUGAUUCAUUACCAAAUGAUGUGUUUUACUCACUUGAGGUAUGUUCUGAUCUAAGAAAUUUAUGUGUUUCAUUUCGGAUAAGAAAGACAGUGGCACCAUAUAUUCUUUUACAAUGCAUAAAUAUACAUGCAAAUAUUGCCCAUAUGCAACGCAAGAUGGAAGUAAUUACAAGAGACAUAUGCGUUUGCAUACAGGAGAAUGUCCAUUUAUUUGCAAAAUUUAUAAUAAGAGUUUCAUUCAGAAGCGCCAUCUUAUUUCUCAUUCCUUGGCUCACCAUUAAUUUUUUGUUGAUUAAUUAACCCUUGAAAAUGUGAAGAAAUGAUGUGUACUGGCCAGAAAAUGUUAUUUUAAAAAAUACUUUUUAAAAUAUCUGAUCUUAAGGUAUAUUUUGGGUGUAAGUGUAUCAAGCCACUUUAAUGUAGAAACUAAAAAAUGCCAAUUAAUUUGCAUUAGUUAAUAAAAACCCAGCUGCUUGGUUCAGUUGCUGCAUCUCAAAACUGGGUCCAAAUGUAAAAUGUAUUAUUUAUUUUCAUUUCUACUUCAAUUAAUUAUUCAUUUUUGUAAUAACAUAUAUAAUUUAUUUGUUCUAAAAGUAUGUUCUAAAAUGACAAAAGGAAUGCAGUAAAUUUUAACCCUCUGACCAGCCAGGGUUUUUGCUAAGAAAGCAAAAAUUUCCCAAAACUACAAUGAGAAAAAAUUAUUUUCUUGAUUUUAAUGUAAAAAUUCUCCUGGUAUUUUAUAUCUGGAUUGGUGUACUUUUAAUAUAUUGCCUUAGUUUCUUUGACAUAUUUUUAAUAUGCACAUAUAUAUACGUUCUUAGAUAUAUCACAAAAAAUAUUUUAGGCCGUAUAUAUACAGCCUUGCUGGUUAGAGGGUUAAUGAAUGUAAGUUGUUGCUAUGAUCUGAAAAGAUCA